GAGAGUUUGGUCUAGUGGUAUGAUUCUCGCUUAGGGUGCGAGAGGUCGUGGGUUCAAUUCCCGCAACUCCCC
rnacentral:tRNA from 1 species